UUACUCAUCUAUGGCUAAUCUAGGGUUCAGCUCCCACAGUUUCUGUGGACAACACAACUGGCUGUCAGUUAUAUCUAAACAAAGACUCGUUAGAGACAGCGAUAACAACAGCCAAAUCGAGUGAGAUCAAUGUAAUGGUGCCCGGUGCUACCCCUGAUGGAGAUUGGGUGGAACAUGCGCUGCCUCAACAGUACAACCAUGUGUUCACGGAAGGGAAGUUUGAGACAAUACCGGUCUCGCACUCAGGUGCCUAAACCAAGGAGAAUCUAUUUGCACUCUGGGUUUUGCUUGAAUAUCAUGCCUUUUUUUUUAUAUACUCAUAUAUUUGGUUUCUUCAGAUUGUUAUAGAGGAGAGAAUCUGUUUGUUUGUUUGUUGGUUGGUUGGUUUUUGUCUUGUGUCUCUGUCCCCUAAUUUUGGGUAUGGAGGUUCUUUGGCCUUUUGAUUUAUAUGAUCUGAGCAUCCUGUGUUUUGUUCGUCCUUGAGGUUUUGGAUUUGGGUUUCUCCUUUCUUUGCUUUUGCGCUUGUUCUGAGCUAUUGACUGUUGACAUUGCGCACAAAUCAAAUCAUGGAUAGGAAAAAGUUGCAAAUCCUGUUUUUGGAAUAUGCAAUAAUUUUAUGUUAUUCAACCUU